GAUUCAAGCCCGCUGCCUUCAUGUACCACAAACGUGUCCCAGUUUACACAGUGGACUUUUGUUUGAAAGGCUUUUGUUUAAAAAAAAAAAAAAAAAAAGACUAACACUAAUAACGCAUCCUUUAGGUUCUGUGGUGUACGGAAGCCAAGAGGUGCCAUGCUUAAAAGCAUCUUCAUGACAUCCACAGUGUGAACGAUUGCCACGUUCAUCCCUAAGUGAUUCUGAUGGGUUGGUGACCCGGUCACGCCGUAACCCUCUCCAUCUUGCCAAAGGACACCUGGAGUUCCCCCUGAACAAGCACGCACAGAUAAGCGGCGUGUUUACCAGGGGAUGGGUGAAGCGGGCAGGCACAUGC